UGCCAGCCGCCGCGGUAAUACGGAGGGUGCAAGCGUUAAUCGGAAUUACUGGGCGUAAAGCGCGCGUAGGCGGUGAGUUAAGUCAGCUGUGAAAGCCCUGGGCUCAACCUGGGAACUGCAGUUGAUACUGGCUCACUAGAGUACGAGAGAGGGGGGUAGAAUUCCACGUGUAGCGGUGAAAUGCGUAGAUAUGUGGAGGAAUACCAGUGGCGAAGGCGGCCCCCUGGCUCGAUACUGACGCUGAGGUGCGAAAGCGUGGGGAGCAAACAGGAUUAGAUA
rnacentral:rRNA from 1 species